rnacentral:rRNA from 1 species
CCUACGGGGGGCAGCAGUGGGGAAUAUUGCACAAUGGGGGAAAGUCUGACGGAGCAACGCCGCGUGAGCGAAGAAGGUCUUCGGAUCGUAAAGCUCUGUUGUUAGGGAAGAACAAGUACGGGAGGAAAUGACCGUACCUUGACGGUACCUAACGAGGAAGCCACGGCUAACUACGUGCCAGCAGCCGCGGUAAUACGUAGGUGGCAAGCGUUGUCCGGAAUUAUUGGGCGUAAAGCGCGCGCAGGCGGUCUUUUAAGUCUGAUGUGAGAUCUUGCGGCCCAACCGCAAGCGGGCAGUGGAAACUGGGGGAAGUGAGGGUGGAAAGGGAAAACCGGAUUCCACGUGUAGCGGUGAAAUGCGUAGAGAUGUGGAGGAACACCAGUGGCGAAGGCGGCUUUCUGGUCUGUAACUGACGCUGAGGCGCGAAAGCGUGGGGAGCAAACAGGAUUAGAUACCCUUGUAGUC